AGUGAAUAGAUACCCAGGUAGUCCCAGCUGUAAACGAUGCGCGUUAGGUGUAUCGGUGACCACGAGUCACCGAGGUGCCGAAGGGAAACCGUGAAACGUGCCGCCUGGGAAGUACGGUCGCAAGGCUGAAACUUAAAGGAAUUGGCGGGGGAGCACCACAACAGGUGGAGCCUGCGGUUUAAUCGGACUCAACGCCGGGAAGCUCACCGGAUAAGACAGCUGAAUGAUAGCCGGGUUGAAGACUCUGCUUGACUAGCGGAGAGGAGGUGCAUGGCCGUCGUCAGUUCGUACUGUGAAGCAUCCUGUUAAGUCAGGCAACGAGCGAGACCCACGCCAACAGUUGCCAGCAUGUCCUCCGGGAUGGUGGGGACACUGUUGGGACCGCCUCUGCUAAAGAGGAGGAAGGAAUGGGCAACGGUAGGUCAGCAUGCCCCGAAUUAUCCGGGCUACACGCGGGCUACAAUGGUCAGGACAAUGGGUAUCAACACCGAAAGGUGAAGGCAAUCUCCUAAACCUGUCCUUAGUUCGGAUUGUGGG
rnacentral:rRNA from 1 species